rnacentral:rRNA from 1 species
UCGAGCGAGUCUGCCUUGAAGAUCGGAGUGCUUGCACUCUGUGAAACAAGAUACAGGCUAGCGGCGGACGGGUGAGUAACACGUGGGUAACCUGCCCAAGAGAUCGGGAUAACACCUGGAAACAGAUGCUAAUACCGGAUAACAACAGAUGAUGCCUAUCAACUGUUUAAAAGAUGGUUCUGCUAUCACUCUUGGAUGGACCUGCGGUGCAUUAGCUAGUUGGUAGGGUAACGGCCUACCAAGGCGAUGAUGCAUAGCCGAGUUGAGAGACUGAUCGGCCACAUUGGGACUGAGACACGGCCCAAACUCCUACGGGAGGCAGCAGUAGGGAAUCUUCCACAAUGGACGCAAGUCUGAUGGAGCAACGCCGCGUGAGUGAAGAAGGGUUUCGGCUCGUAAAGCUCUGUUGUUGGUGAAGAAGGACAGGGGUAGUAACUGACCUUUGUUUGACGGUAAUCAAUUAGAAAGUCACGGCUAACUACGUGCCAGCAGCCGCGGUAAUACGUAGGUGGCAAGCGUUGUCCGGAUUUAUUGGGCGUAAAGCGAGUGCAGGCGGUUCGAUAAGUCUGAUGUGAAAGCCUUCGGCUCAACCGGAGAAUUGCAUCAGAAACUGUCGAGCUUGAGUACAGAAGAGGAGAGUGGAACUCCAUGUGUAGCGGUGAAAUGCGUAGAUAUAUGGAAGAACACCGGUGGCGAAGGCGGCUCUCUGGUCUGUUACUGACGCUGAGGCUCGAAAGCAUGGGUAGCGA